rnacentral:rRNA from 1 species
GACGAACGCUGGCGGCGUGCCUAAUACAUGCAAGUCGUGCGGACCUUGUUGAAAGCUUGCUUUUAAAAGGUUAGCGGCGGACGGGUGAGUAACACGUGGGCAACCUGCCUGUAAGACUGGGAUAACGCCGGGAAACCGGGGCUAAUACCAGAUCGUUUUUUCCUCCGCAUGGAGGAAAAAGGAAAGGCGGCUUCGGCUGCCACUUACAGAUGGGCCCGCGGCGCAUUAGCUAGUUGGCGGGGUAAUGGCCCACCAAGGCAACGAUGCGUAGCCGACCUGAGAGGGGGAUCGGCCACAUUUGGAACGGGACACGGCCCAAACUCCUACGGGGGGCAGCAGUAGGGAAUCUUCCGCAAUGGACGAAAGUCUGACGGGGCAACGCCGCGGGAGUGAAGAAGGCCUUCGGGUCGUAAAACUCUGUUGCCGGGGAAGAACAAGUGCCGUUCGAACAGGGCGGCGCCUUGACGGUACCCGGCCAGAAAGCCACGGCUAACUACGUG